UACACAAAUGCAAUACCAAAUUGCUAGCAAGCCCUGGCAAAACCCUAGAUUACUUUGUGUUUAUAUUUACUGAAAUUGCCCCUUCUUUGGAGCCAAAAUGCAAGGUCAUGUGAUCCUCCAAUCCACCAAACAACCAACCAAUUAGAGACAAGCACAACUAUGAUACUCCAUCAUGCAAUUAACCAAUCAGAUUUGUAGGGUUUGCAAGCAACUGUGAUACUCCACAUGACCAUGUCUCCCAAAUCAAAACUUCUUUCUCUUCUUUUCUCAUAACCAUCGGUUCUCUCUCUCUCUCUCUCUCUCGUUUUUUAUUGAUCACAAGAAAUCGAAGUUGUAACGUUUCAAUUAAGAUGGAAAUCGGUAGAAGGAGAUAGGUGCUGGUAUAGUAACGUUCUUGAAGCAUAAGUUUACUGGCUAUGGAGGAAUCGUAUGUGGAUUUGGCAGAGAACUUAGUAGGGUCAGGAGUGAAGGUUAGAAAAUUUAGAGCGGACGGUGAUGGAAAAGAAUGUGCAAAGAGUGAACUAGGUUGGGAAGCUUCCCCACAAUACUCUUCUUUCCCCAAACACUCUUCCCGGCUGAUUAAGUAUCCUUCAGAAAAGAGAGAAGUUGAUUCAUUGAUGGCAUUUGUGAAUGCUUUAAGGGUUGUAAGUAAUCUGUCAUAGAUGGAUGAUCUUGCGACUUGAGACAAAUAUGAUCCACUUUUGAUUGUGGGAACAAAUUAUGUUAGCAUCAGAGUGCUUCAACUUUGGUGUUCUGAGGUGUGAUACGGCUGUAAUUUUCGUUGCAGCUUUGGGUCCGUUUUGAGGUGAGCUAAGGCUGUUGUUCUUCAACCGAUCAAGGGGCAACUCUGAGCAAGGGGUUUAACAGAGGAUUAGGGACAUUCUCAGCUGGAGGACUUGCUGUUGGAAUGGGAGAGUUAUCAGCAUUGGCUGAAGAAUGGGAAGAAAUUAUAGUUAUUAGUAGUACAUUCAUUGUUGGAUUCUGUGCUACUUAUGCAAAACUCUACCCUACUUUGAAGCCAUAUCAAUAUGGUUUCCGUGUGUUCUUGAUCACUUAUUGCUACAUGUUUUAUUCAAAGAGCAUAUUUUUGUCUCUCAUUUUUUAUUGUCACGAACAUUGCUAAGUACUGGUGGAAUUAUGCGGUGGACUUUUAUAUGUUGUUUACUUUUUUUUUUUUUUGGUUCAAGUAAUAUGAAGAUCAAGUAGUGAUGGAACUAUAUGUAGUGUAAUCUUCUGUUUUGUUCAACUCUUUUGGUUUGAGCGAUUUGAAGAUCUCAGUUUUGAA